UGCAACCACUCAUUUCUUCAGCUCCUGUUCC
rnacentral:piRNA from 1 species